UUACUUACUAGGGGUCUUGCCUGCCCAGUGACAAUGUUAAACGGCCGCGGUAUUUUGACCGUGCGAAGGUAGCGCAAUCACUUGUCUUUUAAAUGAAGACCUGUAUGAAUGGUGAAACGAGGGCUUAACUGUCUCCCUUUUCUAGUCAAUGAAAUUGAUCUGCCCGUGCAGAAGCGGGCAUAAAAAUACAAGACGAGAAGACCCUUUGGAGCUUAAGAUAUAAAGAUCAUCUAUGUCAAUGGGCCCCAGCACAGCAACAAACUAAAUAGCAACUGAUCUUAAUCUUCGGUUGGGGCGACCACGGGAGAAAACAAAGCUCCCACGCGGACUGGGGUAAACCCUAAAACCAAGAAAGACACUUCUAAGUAACAGAACUUCUGACCAUUAAGAUCCGGCUACACGCCGACCAACGGACCAAGUUACCCUAGGGAUAACAGCGCAAUCCCCUUUCAGAGUCCAUAUCGACAAGGGGGUUUACGACCUCGAUGUUGGAUCAGGACAUCCUAAUGGUGCAGCCGCUAUUAAGGGUUCGUUUGUUCAACGAUUAAAGUCCUACGUGAUCUGAGUUC
rnacentral:rRNA from 1 species